UUGUUCCAUUCCUGGUUGCAA
ensembl:piRNA 21ur-5917 ncRNA